rnacentral:ncRNA from 1 species
GCCCUGGGGGAGGCCGAAAGGUCUGAGACUCCCGCCCCUUGGCGGGGGAACCCCUUGAACCUGAUGCGGGUAAUGCCGCCGUAGGGAAUGGGUG